AUACCGCAUGAGUUCUCGGGAGAUUAGAAACCGGAGAAGAAAGCCGAAAGGCGCUGAAGGAGGGGCCUGCGUCCCAUCAGCUAGUUGGUAAGGUAACGGCUUACCAAGGCGAUGACGGGUAGGGGACCUGAGAGGGUGACCCCCCACAAUGGAACUGAAACACGGUCCAUACACCUACGGGUGGCAGCAGUAGGGGAUAUUGGUGAAUGGGCGAAAGCCUGAACCAGCAACGCCGCGUGUGCGAUGACAGCCUUCGGGUUGUAAAGCACUUUUUGCCGGGAAGAGGAAGGACGGUACCGGUAGAAUAAGCCUCGGCUAACUACGUGCCAGCAGCCGCGGUAAAACGUAGGAGGCGAGCGUUAUCCGGAUUUACUGGGUGUAAAGCGCGUGCAGGCGGUCGGAUAAGUUGGGUGUGAAAGCUCCUGGCUCAACUGGGAGAGGUCGCUCAAGACUGUCCGACUGGAGCGUGGUA
rnacentral:rRNA from 1 species